GUUCUGUAUUACAGGCACUGUACGUUUACUGUAAUGAAAAGAUGCUCUGGGGACCACAGAGCUAGCAGUAUAUUCCAGCAGCCUGAUUAUCAUACCAUCUUAAAAACAGUGAUAGUAACUUUCUGAUGUCAUUUGGGGAAUUUUGGGAGUAACUAUGAGACUCACCAUAGUUGCAAAAGAGAUACUGUUGCUUGCCUAAAAGGGGGACUAACUUGAACCGAUGGAUUUUAGCAUCUUGUUCUAGAUCAUCGUAGAUUGUAGUCAACAGGGGCCUUGGGCUUUAACUCUCAGAAUUUAGACAUUUUCAUAAAAUGUAUCUUCAAUACAUACUUUUGCUAUACUGAGCCAUAUGAAAGUCCCUCGUCUAUGUAUUAUUGUUUUCUUUCCUCCCCGGAAAAGAUGAGUCAAUUUAAGAAACUUUGUCUAUUUCUGUAUUCCAGUUGGAUGUUCUUUCCAAAUUCUAACAUUUAAAUACUAGUAUUAAGAAGACAGAUUAAAAUAUUGCUAAAUUAAGUCUUUUUUCAAGUUUGAAUAUGAGGCGAUGUAACAACUGAAGUAUAAUAUAACUUUCAAAAGGUUAGAUUAAAUUGAUUCUAUACGUUUUACUCAUUGAUAUUUUAGCAGUAAAAUACAAUUCAACACUAGACUUGAAAAUUACUUACAAAUAAAUAUAUUAUAUAUAAUUUUGAGUUUUUACAUUUGCACCCAGUUCUCUCAAGGAUUUUUUUUUUGUAUUGCCAGCUCAAAAUUGAUAAUGUUUUGUAGUAAGCAAUUGUAAUUUUUAAUUCUUCUUCAGGAACCCCUAUGAACAUUGAAUAUUAUCUAUCUCCCUAUCAAGUUCUGGAAGAAGAGCUGAAUCCUGGCUCCCAAGUAUGUGGAACCAAAGUAUUUGUAACUGUUGCAAGUUCAAACACAACACACAAACUUCCCAUUUCUCCGUUAAUUGUGGAUUCUCAGGCAGGAGAUGGGUGAGAUUCAAAGGCACUAUUGACAUUUCUGAACAUAUAAAUGGACUUUCAAAUCAUUGGUAUUAAACCCUG
rnacentral:lncRNA from 1 species